rnacentral:rRNA from 1 species
AUGAACGCUGGCGGCGUGCCUCAUACAUGCCAGUCGAGCGAACAGACGAGGAGCUUGCUCCUCUGACGUUAGCGGCGGACGGGUGAGUAACACGUGGAUAACCUACCUAUAAGACUGGGAUAACUUCGGGAAACCGGAGCUAAUACCGGAUAAUAUAUUGAACCGCAUGGUUCAAUAGUGAAAGACGGUUUUGCUGUCACUUAUAGAUGGAUCCGCGCCGCAUUAGCUAGUUGGUAAGGUAACGGCUUACCAAGGCAACGAUGCGUAGCCGACCUGAGAGGGUGAUCGGCCACACUGGAACUGAGACACGGUCCAGACUCCUGCGGGAGGCAGCAGUAGGGAAUCUUCCGCAAUGGGCGAAAGCCUGACGGAGCAACGCCGCGUGAGUGAUGAAGGUCUUCGGAUCGUAAAACUCUGUUAUUAGGGAAGAACAAAUGUGUAAGUAACUAUGCACGUCUUGACGGUACCUAAUCAGAAAGCCACGGCUAACUACGUG